UACGAAGGGGGCUAGCGUUGCUCGGAAUUACUGGGCGUAAAGGGCGCGUAGGCGGAUAGUUCAGUUGGGGGUGAAAGCCCGGGGCUCAACCUCGGAACUGCCUUCAAUACUGGCUAUCUUGAGUACGGGAGAGGUGUGUGGAACUCCGAGUGUAGAGGUGAAAUUCGUAGAUAUUCGGAAGAACACCAGUGGCGAAGGCGACACACUGGUCCGUUACUGACGCUGAGGCGCGAAAGCGUGGGGAGCAAACAGG
rnacentral:rRNA from 1 species